GGAAGGUGAAGAUGCCUAGGUUCCUCGCUCGUUGUGUGCAACGUGCCGGGGCUAAGAGGGAAGUCGGUGCCCCGCCUCAUUCGGGAAAGCCGGAGCUGCCCCCGCAACUGUAAGCGGCGAGCUGACGUUCAUCAUGUCACUGGGGUGAGCCCUGGGAAGGCGGACGGAAGCGAUGACCCGCGAGCCAGGAGACCUGCCUUGGCGAAAAACGUCCA
rnacentral:ncRNA from 1 species